rnacentral:lncRNA from 1 species
UUUAUGGCUAGGGACCUAAGAGUAAAUAUUAGAAGUUUGAUAUAAUUUAUGAAAGAUUCAGAUUUAAGUUAAAAAAAAAAAAUAUAUAUAUAUAUAUAUAUAUAUAGUGGACAUGUGUCACUAACUAACAUAAGGUUGGUGCCACUUAUCCUUGCUCUAAAGAUGACACCUAGCCCCUUUCAUGCAUGCAUGACACCUUGCA